UUUAUGUUCUAGUGACAAAGAUGGUCCAAUAGAUUGUGCUAGUAAACAUUGGACAAGGCCCAAUUGCCUGUUUAGGUCAUGCCGUUUUGAACACCUCAGCUGGCUUUUGGUGUUAUUGCCCAUGUACAACUUUGGAUGGGUCUUUUGAUGCUGAGGUGGAGUCAGCUAGGUUUUAACGUUCUUGUCGAAAAACUUACGUGGAAUUGACAAAACUAGAAUCUAUAAUAGUGAUGGGGUUUUUUCCAGUCGUUUAUCAUAUUGUCUUAUUCUUUUAACUUGGAAUUACUCUUCGGAUUGAGAAGACGUAGCAAAGGGCACUUUGUUUGGUAUGAAGAGGAAAAUCUGCUUGAUUUAGAUGCCUAUGUGAUGUUUAACAUCAAAAAGUUUUCACGAAUAUUCUUUCGGGGAUAUUUAUAGACUUAUAGUUAUCAAUUGUGGUUUUAAUUGUUAAUAUGUCACUCUUGUCAAGUUGUUUUCGGAAGCAUGUUAGAUUGUCAAUACUUGGUUUAAGCCCAAGGUUUUUGUUCUAUGUACUUCAAUUUCAAGCCCAAGGUUUUUGUUUAAUGUACUAUAUACAUGUGAUAUUUGAUAUAAUUCAUUUUGUCUGA